UACAGAGGUCUCAAGCGUUGUUCGGAUUCAUUGGGCGUAAAGGGUGCGUAGGCGGCGCGGUAAGUCGGGUGUGAAAUCUCGGAGCUUAACUCCGAAACUGCAUUCGAUACUGCCGUGCUUGAGGACUGGAGAGGAGACUGGAAUUUACGGUGUAGCGGUGAAAUGCGCAGAUAUCAGGAAGAACACCCGUGGCGAAGGCGGCUCUCUGGGACGGUACUGACGCUGAGACGCGAAAGCGUGGGGAGCAAACGGG
rnacentral:rRNA from 1 species